CCGAAGGCGCCCUUGGCGCGCCUGCGCAGGAUCCCCCUCGCCAUAGAGCGCGCGGAGGACAAGAUCCUGCUGAAUCUUGGUGGUGACCGUCGCCCGUCGGUGGUCGCUUCCUCUCCCCCCCUCCACUUUACCCUCGGUAUGGCCGCCGCGGGGGCCUCCUAAAUCGCUGUAAACCUGGACCACACCCCUCAGCCUUCCAUCGCUCCCCAGGAGAAGACCCUGGAGACCCUCGACUGUCCAGCCUCAGGCAAACUCUCCGGGUCCCGCCCCCUCGGAGCCCUGCACGUUUUAUCUUCUGUGCAGCUUUUCCAAACCCAGGGCCUCCGCGCAAACGGGGGCACCACGUCCUUUAAGGCUCUGCUGUCGUUCCCCACUUGGAAGCAUCAUCUAUCCCACCCAAACCUCUUGUCCCAUCAUCUGGCCCACCUUUCCCACCACCGCCAGCAGUCACCCUAGAAGACAGGGCUGUGCGCAGGCCUGCGGCUGGGGAAGGCUCUGGGGGCCCCCAGGCGCCUGGGAUGAAGCCAGGUAAG